CAUCACAGCCUGCUUUGUCUGGA
rnacentral:miRNA from 1 species